AACCUGCGGAAGGAUCAUUAUUGAAAUAAACCUGAUAGGUUGCUGCUGGUUCUCUAGGGAGCAUUGUGCACACUUGUCAUCUUUAUAUCUUCACCUGUGCACCUUUUGUAGACCCUGGGUAUCGUUCUGAAUAGCCUAGCAUUCAGGUUUGAGGAUUGACUUUUUGUCUUUCCUUACAUUUCCAGGUCUAUGUUUCUUUAUAUACACCCAAUGUAUGUUGUAGAAUGUAAUGAAAUGGGCGUUUGUGCCUAUAAAACCUAUACAACUUUCAGCAACGGAUCUCUUGGCUCUCGCAUCGAUGAAGAACGCAGCGAAAUGCGAUAAGUAAUGUGAAUUGCAGAAUUCAGUGAAUCAUCGAAUCUUUGAACGCACCUUGCGCUCCUUGGUAUUCCGAGGAGCAUGCCUGUUUGAGUGUCAUUAAUAUAUCAACCUUCUUCAGCUUUGAGUUGUUGUGGAGUGUUGGAUGUGGGGGGAGAGCAAUUCAUUGUUUUGCCGGCCUUCCAGAGGUCGGCUCCCCUGAAAUGCAUUAGCGGAACAGUUUGUUGACCGUUCAUUGGUGUGAUAAUUAUCUACGCUAUUGACGUGAAGCAGGUUCAGCUUCUAACGGUCCCAUUGACUUGGACAAAUUUCUAUUAAUGUGACCUCAAAUCAGGUAGGACUACCCGCUGAACUUAA
rnacentral:rRNA from 1 species